rnacentral:sRNA from 1 species
GGGUAAAACACACACACCCACAUAAUUGUGGCUCAAGGAGUCUGGGUGUGGUUUAGGGCAGAGGGACAGCAUAUGGAGGACACCAACAAGGGAUCUAGGAGGUGUCCCAUAAAGGGGUCAAAGGAAAAGGAGUUGGUUGGUGAGUUGGUGGUGGCUCAGGCAUCAUGGGUAUUCUUUUAAAGAAGAGGGAAGAUAGUCGGGCUUGGAACCACAUAAAGCAAUUCUGAGUGGGGCUGAGAACCCGGCCAGGUACACCAUCAGGUGUGGAGGAGGAGGCUUGGCAGGGCCCUGGCUGAGCAAACGAUGGAGAAGCAGCCACUGUCAAAGCCCUGCACUGAAGGAGCAUCCGUGAAUAAGAAACCUUAACUGUUCAGCUGCUCGUGGGGCUGGGGGAGGCCGUGGGAGGUGGGUCUCAAGAGAGCAGUCCAAGGAUGGAUGAGAGAGAGCACACUAGCCCCAAUUUUGAAGUCUCUGAUUCCACAUUCGGAAAGGGCACCGUGAGCAUGGAAAAGCAGCUUCCAAGAAUUGCCUGAGACUCUACAAGCUAGAAACCAACCCAGAAUAAAAGAACAAUAGCGAAGAAGCCAAAGCAUGAACCCAGCUUCAUCCUGUGAGCUGGGUGCUGAAAAUGUAUCAUCCAGUCACUAGGUAUGCGGCACCAACUCCCUGAGAGACCACGCUGGCUGUUCCUGGGUCUUUGCUUUUCCUUUGAGGGUACCUGUGAGAAACGGUUGCCUUCCGCAGUAGACAGUUCAUCAGGAGCACUCGAUAGCCUUCCUAUUGAGGGUCCUGAAUUCAUUCUCUCAUCUUUCUAAGUUGGGAGCAAGCCUGCCAAGGUGGUGAUUAGGGUGGACUUCCAUCCAUCUAAGCAGCUACUUUAAAUGGGCCAAUACGAUGAUGGGUGUACAGGUGUCCAUCUCAAAGACACUCCUGAAGCCACCCUGCAUAAUAAACUCUGCCUCAGAGCUCACUUCCCAGGAGACCCAAUAGUGGAAGUGUGAAUUGGCUGGGUCCCAUCGAGAAUCGGAGUCUCAUCCCUACCCUGCUAGAUCUGGACAGGACUCUGACUGCUUCCCUCAAGAGAGGGCAUAGAAGAGAUAUUGUGUGAUUUCUGAGCCUAGGCCAGAAAAGCUGGGCAGCUUCUGCCUUGUGCCCUUGGAAUGAUGCCAGAUUCCAUGUAAGAAGUCUCAGUGUCCUCAAAUGACUGUGCUGAAGAGGUUCUGUACAUGAGAUGACAGCUGGCACCAAAUGAUGUCCACGAGUGAAUAUUCUGCCUGAAAGAGAUAACUAAAGCCCCAGCCAACAUCUGCCCUCAAUGACACGGAAGAGCUCAAGUGUGAAAUAGUGUCUUCCCCAAACUCCUGAUCUACAGAUAGGAAAGCUUGCUAUGUAGUACCAGUACGGGGAACACUGUGCCCUGCAUAGUGACCUCCUAACCUCCAUCUUCUUCUACUCCGUGCCCCCCAUUUACCCUACUCCAUUGGCUCCUACUUCCCAUUAGCUGCCAGGGAUUAUUCUUAAGUAGUUACCAGCUACUAUGGUUGCAUCACUCCCUUGAAAAUCUGGUUUUAAGUGGCCUGCAGAGGGCCUCAAAUUUUAAUAUGUGUUAUACUGCGGAUGGUUAAUACUGUGGGUGGUUAAUACUGUGGGUGGUUAAUACUGUGGAUGGUUAUACUAUAGAUGGUUAAUACUGUGGAUGGUUAAUACUGUGGAUGGUUAUAUUGUGGAUGGUUAUACUGUAGAUGGUUAAUACUGCAGAUGGUUAUACUGUAGAUGGUUAAUACUGUGGAUGGUUAAUACUGUGGAUGGUUAUAUUGUGGAUGGUUAUACUGUGGGUGGUUAAUACUGUGGGUGGUUAAUUCUGUGGAUGGUUAUACUAUAGAUGGUUAAUAUUGUGGAUGGUUAUACUGUAGAUGGUUAAUACUGCGGAUGGUUAUACUGUAGAUGGUUAAUACUGUGGAUGGUUAAUACUGUGGAUGGUUAUAUUGUGGAUGGUUAUACUGUAGAUGGUUAAUACUGCGGAUGGUUAUACUGUAGAUGGUUAAUACUGUGGAUGGUUAAUACUGUGGAUAGUUAUACUGUGGGUGGUUAAUACUAUGGAUGGUUAUACUGUGGAUGGUUAAUACUGUGGAUGGUUAAUACUGUGGAUGGUUAAUACUGUGGAUGGUUAAUACUGUGGAUGGUUCGUUUUAUGUGUCAACUUUAAUGAACCCAAGGACAUCCAGCCACUGGUCAAACUGUAUUCUGGAUGUAGCUAUGAAGAUUUUUAAAAAGAUGACAUUAACAUUUGAACUAAUUACAGAGUAAAUCAGUGUAGUAUAUGUAGGGGUAGGGAGGGGUCUAAUGGACAACAGACCUGAGUGGAAUAAAAAGGCUAAGAGGUUACUCAGGCCUAGGGGUGUUGGAUAGGCACGAGCUUUUUCCUGCCUUCAGAUCCAAACCAAAGCAUUCAUUUUUGUUGGGUCUCAAGUCUAGCAGCUUUCAGUACAGCAUGAGCAUCCUUGGCUUCUUGUGCCUCAAGACUAGGUUUUGGGAGCUCUUAACCACCAUAAAAUAUCUGUGCCAACCAGACUUUUGUUUGUUUGUUUGUUUGUUUGUUUUUGAUGGAAUUUGGCUAUGAAGCCCAGAAGGAAAUUUAACUCAUAACCCUCUUGCCUCAUCCUUCUAUGUAAAUGAGAUUACAAGAAUGUUUUACCAAAUUUUCCCUGAACAAAUUCCUUAUAAGUAACAAUAUGUAUUACAUAUAAUAAAAGCAUACAUGUCACAUACAUGCCAUAUGUGUGGUUAAAUUAACCAUAUACCAUGUUUUUUAACAUACAUAUACAUGGUAUUUCUUAUCGAUUCUAAUUUCUCUGGAUCCCCGUGACUAUAGAGGCUAGGGCUCAGGAAUUUCCUUUUAAAAACAAGGUCCUAAGUGAUUUUGCUUCUAGCAUGGGUGCCAAAUUUUAGUCUACAAAUCCAUUACUUUACCACCCAGCAAUUCAUUCCCAGUUUUGUUAAAUGUAAAAAAAAAUUCUCAUCAUCAGCAUGGCUUUGCUGAAGACUCUGUAAUGUAUAUAUUUACAUGUCAGCUUUCUGUAAUGUAUAUAUUUACAUAUCAGCUUUCCUAUUUUAGUUUCUGUAUCUUGUAUCAUGAAAGUACUAAUUUUCUUUUCAUUAAAUUAUAAAUGUAUUACAUUGGAUUUAUAAAUUAAUAUUGUGUGUAAUAUAGCUUUAAACGUGUAUUUGCACAAAACUCGCAAGUGGUAACAACUGAAAAAUGCUACUUUCUGAUAAACAUUAUCCUCAUCACCAUCCCCUUCCAUUCCCAAUACUCUGCCCCUUGAGUUGGAAGUCGCUACUUAUCCAGCAAGGUCUCCCUGAUGGCCCCGCUUGUGCUACUAUUUUGCCAUGAAGGGUUUGUUUGUGUAAUAAAUAUUUAUUGAAAGGUUGGCACAUGCCAAGCAUAAUGCUUGGAGCCAUGUCCCCUGUAGACAAGUAAUUGCUUCCUUUUCAGAGGGCCCCAGGCACUGAGUUCCACCCUCUCAUCACCUCACCACUCCAUGACACAGUUAGCACUUCUCCCUCGCCAGGAGGAGCAGCUUCUUAUGCCAGAGACUACGGCUUGUUCAUCUGUAGAUCCCGGUCUCUGGCAUGCUGCCCAAAAGCCAGUAGGAACUCAAUUAAGGUUGAUGAACGAGUUAAUAUACGAAUGGUGAUAGCCUGGUGUCGGGUACAUCAGAGGUGGCCAAUAAAUAAGCUGAAAUGAAAUUAAAUUCAAAGUACAGGUCAAGAAACAAGGACAGAGAGAAGCAAGAAGGAAUGGUUGUUGAAGACUACCAAGAUGAAAGGAAGUGAGCGCUGGGGAGAAGAAAGGGAAACAUUAGAUUUGAUUUUUAAAAAAGGAAGUUAAUGGGGCCUGAAAAGACAGCUUAGUCAUUAAGACCACUUGUUGCUCUUGCAG